GCUCAUUCGCUCCGCCACUCGGCGGCGUCUCCCCCGCCAUGGAACAAUCCGCAACCCGCCCGCCCCCGUCGAGAAAUGGCGUCGCCCUCCCAUACCUCAGGCCGCUCACCCCCGAAGGAAAGUGGACCUGCCCAUCCGCAGUUUGCCAAUUGCCCGGCUUGUGCGGCAAAAUGGACCCGCCCGCCAGGCGCCGGGAUCCGAGCUUCGCGUACGGCGUUCCCACAGGCCGAGGCCUCGUGACGAAGCUCGCGCCCUCCGCCCUAGCCAGGUCGUCCUUCCCCGUAACCACACUGGGGUCAGCGGCGGCCAUGGGAAUCUCCCCCACCCCCCCAACCCCGGACGGUUCCUCCCGGCUCGGUUCUCCCGCAACCUGGUAGGUUCGGUGCGAUGGGCCUCUCAACUUCCCCACGGCGGGCCCUUUGGAGGGAACUACGGGGGAAUAGAAAGCAAGAAUCUGUUCACUUGGAGACUCCUAGAGGUUACGAAUUCAAUUGCUGCCUCCUAUCAAACUAUUCCAUUUUUCUCUGGAAACUCACCAUUUUGAAGUAACCUUUCCAGCCCUGAUGGAAGUCCAGUCGGUCUUUUUUGACUGCCUCUGCCUGUAGAUACUUGGCAAUAUGCUAUGUGGGCAAGAAAAAAGAAAGUGACACCUUAAUCACCUGCCAGUGUAACACAGAGUGUGCUGGUGGGAAACAUCACACCCACUCACUCCUCGGACUCCAAGCCCACGCUUCUUCCUGAAAUGGCUUGCUGCCACAUCUCCCUACAAUUUUACUACUUGUUUCCCCACAACCUCCUCAAACCUUAGGGCAGCGGCGAUUUAGAGUUCGCUGGGAGUCAAAAUAGGUGAUGGUACGUCGCCUUACAUCAACUGAGAUAAGGGACCAGUGCACCUCCAGAUGGAUGGGGAUUAGCAGUAAUUCCUUAUUGAAGAUGUCCACCUGGAAAGAGAGUGCUGGAAGUCAGCUACAACAUAAAACCCUAUUGAUUGCCAUGAGGAUUCUAAAAAAAAAAAUAUGGAACAAGCAAAGGAGUUACAAAAUAUACAUCAUGGACUGUGAGGACUCAGCAAAUAACGUUGGUGGGCUGGCCAGCAAGUCCAAGGAAUCUACUUACCUCCACUUCUGUAGCACUGAAAACAACUACCCCUGGCCUGGCUUUUUAGGUGGGGAUCAAACUCCAGUCCUUGUAUGCCCUCUAUAGGUUGAGAUAUCUUCCUAACCCAGAUAUGCUCCUGCUUCUCAGGCCUGGCUGAUAUUGAGAUAUUUGAUGGUGAAGAAAGACAGAAAUAAGAAGGUAAUAUCAGAACACAUGUGCCUUCUAAUUUAGCACCUGGGAGGUAGAACUACGAGUUCAAGGCCAGCCUCUACUACAUGCUCUGCUACCAGGUUGUUUCGAUGGUCUCCCACUCCCCACAAAGAGACACGAGAAUGCUCAUGGACAAGCUUUUCAAUGUCUCUUAGUGUCCUACAUAAAGAUCCCCCCAGUUGUCUUACAGGGCUUGACACUUUGUCUGCAGCUUCCUCAGCUGCAGCUCUAGCUCUUACUUCCUCAAAUCCACCACAUUCUCUCCUCUACCUAAGGUAGGUCUCAGCCCUCCCUCAGUGCUCACCUUGAGGGUGUAGAGAACUCCUGCUGGAAAAUGUCCUCCAACUUCUCUACAACUUCAUCAGUGCUGAGAGGGAUGAGGCUGCCAUAAGUUUGAAGGAAUUCAUCUAAGAUACCUAAUGGAGGUAGGAGAGAGUAAGCGGGGGCCUUUAGACUCUAUCGGAAAAGCUGGCCAGAAGGGGACUAAGUCUUCUGAAGACUCACUCUGCACACAGGUCACAUGUUCCUCCCGAAGGGGGCUAUGCUGGCCAGCUUUCUCCCCAGUCCGAUCUGCCUCUUCUGCAAUGCCCAAGUCAGAGCUCUGAAAAAGUUCCUGAGCCACGUGGUCUCCAAUGCUGCACACAUUACUGAUGAGUAUGCUGGCAUCAGGGGGUGCCAGGCUGCGCUCCCCUUCAGGACCAGACAGUCCCCCAAAACCAUUGGGUAGAGUACAUGAGAGGAGGCCUAUAAAGCACAGAAAUAGGAAUGAGAAACUGGCCGUGUAAAAGAACCAAUGCAUACAAAUGAUAAGACCACAGAACACAGACUGAAGCAGAGUCUAGCAAUGGAAACCUUAUGGAAUACAGACACCACCACCCUACACACACACACACACACACACACACACACACACACACACACACAUAUGUGCGCGCCUAAUGUAAGGACAGCCAGAGUUUAUUAAAAAAAAAAAAAAAAAGAAGAAGAAGAAGAAAAAGUAGUAGGUCAUCUUCAAAAAAGAGGAAGAAUGCAAAAGCCUAGGAUUUGGAGACCAGAAAUCUCUGCUGCCAAUAUCUGCUUACCACCUAACAGUGCACAGUGAGUGAGGAAGGCUCAGUAGUAGUAAGGUUGGUAAGUUUUUAGCUUGAGUUCUCAAAGAGGAAAUAUUCUAAAUAAAAAUGUUAAAAUCUACAAAUGAUAUAUUCCAUAAGAACCAUGAGUGUCCUAUGGAGAUCCACAUGUCUAGGCCUUUUUCCGGCAGGAAGAAAGCCUUAGAAUGGACAACAUGAUUUCCUAGAGCAUAGAUAGCUCUUUGUCAUCUGCACUGAAGACCAUAGGACAUCUACUUAUGUAGAUGUUCCCAACACUGUGUCCCAGGUAUCAGUCCUGCUAAAAAUCAGAGUCCCCAGCUCCCACAAGAUAGGAUCUUUCUUUGCAGCCCAGGUGGGGCCUUGAUUAAUUGUUCCAUCUUAGCCUCCAAAAUCAUAGGAUUAGUGUGUGCCUAGACGGGCCUUUAAAAUUAAGGCUUAAAUCGGGUGGUGGCGGCGCACGCCUUUAGUCCCAGCACUUGGGAGGCAGAGAGCCACACGGUAGUAACAAGAAUUUGGACGCAAUAGGUGAAAUACUGAAAGCCGGGCUUCUUGUUAAUUGAAGCAGAGGGUACUUGAAGAGUUGGAUAAGGUUUUCCCUAGCAGAGACCAUAGUCUUUCCUCAACCUGCCGCUAGAUGGUGCUGCUGUUCUGGAUGCAUUCCAGUGGACAAGGCUUGGCACAGUUUUUGUUGGGGAACAUGUGCAUGUGUGGAGAUCAGAAGACAGCUUGAGAGUUGGUUCCUUCCUUUUGCUCUGUGGGUUCUCGGAAUCAAACCCAGGAGGGAGUCUGCUAGAGGUGAGGAGUGUGCAGGUCAGCAUUUCCUUACCCUCAGUACAUGAGCUCUCUCCCUUUUCAGUUCUAGGGUUCUCUUGGCCCCAGCCCCACAGUUCCUGGUUGGUGCCCCUCCCACAGUGCCGUUAUUUAAAAUAGUGCUUACCCUUGGAGGUAAUGUUAACUGGAACAAGAUGCAGGACUGAGUGCUUCUCUAAGGAAAGAAGGAGGAAACAGCAGUGUUGACCUGCCCUGGAGUCCACCCUCACCUCAGCCCUGCUCCGCAUCCCUCGUGCUCCUGGGUCACCGCCAACCGCACCGAAACCCCAGGGCUCACUCACUCUUGUGCUUCUGGGUUAGGCUGCCUCAGACUUUCAAUGCAGUUGAAGAUGAACUUGAAUUCCUCAUGCUGCCUUCCAAGUGCUGAGAUUAUGGAGUCAGCAAAACAUGAACUCUGUAUUCAUCCCCCCUUGCAAGGGCAAGGACAGCUGUCCUAUUCACCCCGACUAUCUUCCCAGCACUUAGAACUGGGCCUCACCUAAGGCAUGUGCAACCUGCAGCCAUCAGAGGGCCCCAUGCAUCUCAGGGUGCUAUGGACAUGGCCCAAUGUAUCUGCAGAGGACAUCAUGUCACAGUAUCAGAAGAUCAGGUACCCCACAUGUAUAGAGCGCUUUUCCACCCCCACCUCACUGAAACUCUUUAACAACCUUCCGCCUCAUCAGACUCUUGGGAAAGCCUGGCCUUGCAUGGGUCCUGAGCCUGCCUCUACCACCCAAUUAAGCUUUGAGGCCUACUAAGGCCUAAAUGCUACUACCAGGGGCAAGGAGUCCCUGACUCCACUGUAAAAUCGUCUUCCUGUGUGGUGCCAUGUAUCUUGGGCUACCUUACCAUCAUUCUUGUCAUCUACCACUGUAAUUACACAUUUACAGACUGCCU
rnacentral:lncRNA from 1 species